UGUUAAACAGCCGAACAGCCGGCUGUUUUCGGCUGUUUUACAGCCGGCUUCGGCUGUUUAACA
rnacentral:miRNA from 1 species